rnacentral:rRNA from 1 species
UACGUAGGCCGCGAGCGUUGUUCGGAGUUACUGGGCGUAAAGAGUGCGUAGGCGGUUUUCUAAGUUUGGUGUGAAAUCUCCCGGCUCAACUGGGAGGGUGCGCCGAAGACUGGAAGGCUAGAGUAUGGGAGAGGUAAGCGGAAUUCCUGGUGUAGCGGUGAAAUGCGUAGAUAUCAGGAGGAACACCUGCGGUGUAGACGGCUUACUGGACCAUCACUGACGCUGAGGCACGAAAGCGUGGGUAGCAAACAGG